GCUGAGGUGGCGCAAUUGGUAGCGCAACGCACUUGUAAUGCGUAGGUUGCGGGUUCAAGUCCCGUCCUCAGCUCCA
rnacentral:tRNA from 7 species